rnacentral:misc_RNA from 1 species
GGUUCACGUGCGGUCGCACAUGAUAUUAUUAUUGUACGUAUAUACGCUCACGCAUGAAUGUCUCGGUGAUAAUAUUAUUUUAAACAUUUUUUCCACGCCAGUCGCUGUGUUAUUAUUAUAUUGUAAUCCGAGGUACUUUUUUUUUUAUAAUCAUUUUUUCAAAUAAUUUCUGUUCGUAUAUUUAUCGUGUGCAUCGACUUCCGACCGGAAAUGUAAGACGAACACAAUUAAACGCGAACGGUGCGCGAUUCGGACGUCGAUGUCGUCGUCGUAAUUGUGCAUAAAUCAUUACUUAUUUUAAACGGCGAGUAGUGGAACGGGUUGGUUUUUCUUUCUUGUUGUUUAGUUUUGACUCAAACCAUCAAGCUGGAUUUCCAGGCUAAUUCCUCCAACAUGUUCACCAGGUUCGACGCGACCAAGUCCACUAAAGGAGCGAGCAAGCUUCGGAGGGAUCUCAUCAAUGCAGAGAUCGCUAACCUCCGGGACCUACUACCAUUGCCGCCGUCCACGAGGCAACGGUUGUCGCAGUUGCAACUUAUGGCCCUGGUGUGUGUGUACGUCCGGAAAGCCAACUACUUUCAACAAGCGUUCAAACGUCAUGAAUGUCUACACCACCAUUGCUUGCCAACGCCUAGUUACGGAUUUUCUAAGUCGCUCAGCGGGUUCUUGAUGAUGAUGACCCAAAACGGCAAACUCCUAUACAUAUCGGAUAACGCCGCCGAAUAUUUGGGACACUCGAUGGAGGAUCUCCUCAUACACGGCGACAGUGUGUACGACAUGAUCGAUAAACAAGAUCAUCAGGCUGUUCAAACCGAACUAUCCAGGAGUCAAACGUCCGCCGAGGACCAAGGAUGUAAGCGCAUGUUCUUGUGCCGGAUGAACGUUUCCAGGAACGCCCGGAGGCAAAUGCGAUUCGGCGAUCAAAAAGUGGUUUUGGUGCAGGGCCACUACCUCUCCUAUCUGCCGCUGUGCAGCAGAAAUGAACCAGUUUUCCUAGCCACUUGCAGCCCAGUGGCGAUGCCCGAGACCAGGGAGGCUGUAGUCCAGGGCUCCACCACAGUGUUCACAGCCAUCCAUUCGAUGGACAUGAAGUUCAUACACGUAGACAAAAUAGGAGAAUUUCAUUUGGGGUUUUCUCGUUCAGAACUGCAGGGCGUCUCUUGGUAUCAAUUGUUGCAUUGGGAGUGCAUGCGCGAGGCUCAGAGCAAACACAGGCUGAUUACACAAUCAGAACAGGAUCGUUCUUGCAUACUGCUGGCCAGGGUACAGAAGAGGGCCACAGGGGACUGGCUUUGGAUACACUGUGUGUUACAGGUCAAAGACAACAUGGAAAACAGCCAACAGCCAGUCAUCGUCAGCACAAAUCAAGUACUUACGGACCAAGAGGCGGCCGUGAUGCGGGCCAACAGUUGGCUGUACCAUUAUUACAUGGUGCAGAGCAAACUUCAGUACGGUAUGCAGUUCGAAGCGCAGACGUCGCCGCGAGUGCCGUCCACCGGGCCGGCACAGGUGCAGACGGGCGUGCCCCCGCCAACGGCGGCACCCGUGUACGCUUAUCACCACCAACAGUCGCCGCACCAGCAGGACGGUGCUUACCCGUCGGCGGACCACCAGCACCACCAACAGCACCAUCAACAGCAACACCAACAGCAACACCAGCAGCACCACCAGCAGCAACAACCGGUGCACUUCCACCAGUUACCCGACGGAUACUUCCGGUACGCCGCGGCGGCCGCAACGUCGACCGGGACGGCGGCGGUGACCACGGCUGCGGCGACAACGACCACUGCGGUGGCGUCGAAACGGCACAGGUUGGAACCCGAACCCGUUGACUAUUCCAUACAUUCGCCCGAGCAGACGCCGCCGUUGAAGGUCGAGGACGGCGGCCACUCGAUGGUGUCCGACCCGUCGCCGUCGCCGCCUUCGAUGGGCGGCGGCGAUUCCGGCGGCGGGUGCGCUACCGCGGUGGCGGCCGCUCUCUCGUCGUCCCUGCCGUCGGCCACGUCGCUGGGCCGGUCUCGGGCGCUGGUCAAGGCGGCCAUGGACCCCGGCGACCUGAUGAUGGAAACGUGGAAUCCCAGUCCACCGUGGUCGGACUGCUGUUCCGGGACCGGCGCCCUGCAAAAGGUGCCCGACGUGGACAUGCUCGGCAGCAGCGGCGGUGGCAGUUACUGCGGACAGCCGACGCCCCCCACGCCCGGUAGCGGUGGCUCGUACCACACGUCGUCGGGCGCACCACAGCAACACCACAACCAUCAACACCACCCGGGGGGCUGCGAUGAGGUGCCCACCGCCGACACGCUACACCAACACCACCACCAUCAUCACCACCAUCACCAACCGUCCACGUUCACGUUCGACUGGCCGGGCGAGCAGUACGUGCCCAACGUGCACGAGGUGCUCGUCGAGCCCACGCCGCACUAUAUAGUUCCGUUCCCGCCGUGGCCGCACACCGCCGCGGCCGACCACCACAGGCUGUUCCCGCUCCAACCACCACCGCCCGGCUCUAUGAACCGACCGUCGCUCAUCGUACGGGUCGACCAAGACGCCGCCGCUGCCGCCGCCGCCGACGCUUCCGUCCAAGACGGACGUCGUGAAAGCGACAUGUGACGAGUGGACGCGAGGAUUACGAGAAAUCAUCAUUGCAAUGUUGGCCUCGCGAGAACGCCACCGCGAAGUGCUAUUUUUCGUCUCGUCCGAAGCCAUAAAAAUACGAACGUUUAAUUUUUUUUCUCUCGUUUAUAAUAUAUGACGUUAUACCACACAAACGAUACUCUCAAAUGUAGCCGACAAUUAUCUACCAGCAAUAUAUUAUUAUUAUCGUAUGGUUCGCGUAGUUAGCGUAUUGAUAGCGGUGGCGGACGCUUUGUACGUAUAACUGCAUUCUGCGUUCUGUGUAUACGUGUCGUAUACAGAGUGAUUCUUUUAAUGUGAAUUCUUAGGAAAUACAUUAAAAACAAUAUUUAGUACGCAAAACAACGUAAAAUAGUAUAUUAAGUUUCGAAGCGUUUAAAAAAAAAAAAAAAAAAAUGUUUUUUAAUUCCUUAUAUUUCCCAAGUUAUUACACGUUUCUCGCGAUAAAAGAAUCACUACGUAAACGAUAGAUCUAACGUACAUCGAUCUGUCCCGGUAAAUAUUUUAUAGACAAUUGUAUAAUAACAUAAUAUAAGUAUUUUAGUGCCUACGAGUGCAUGUUUAUGAGUCACACGGCUCGCGUUAUUGUGAAUAAAAUCGGAAGAGCGUCGUCGU